GAAGUAUGAAUAAAUUUUCCAAUCCAUGAACACUAUCUGGAAGGGGUGAAUACUCCAGUUAGUCACCAACUUAACUUCUUCAUGUUCAAUGCGAUAGAUCACUUCCCUUUCUGUCUCUCAUGAGGAAAAGAACACUCAAGGGAUAACAACCAAACAUAAAUAAAAUGAAAUAUAAUAAGAUAUAGUAAGAGCAUAUUGAAGGUGGACAAGGCAAUCCAACAGAAGGAAAAUGAGCAGACACAAGAAUCAGAGACCCAACUGUUAACACACUCAAGUAUGCCAUAAAAACACUAAAUUGAAUGCUCUCAGAUGUGUACAGAGGCAACAAUGCAGAC
ensembl:lncRNA